rnacentral:sRNA from 1 species
GCCGGGCGUGGUGGCGUGGGCCUGUAAUCCCAGCUACUAAGGAGGCUGAGGCAGGAGAAUCACUUGAACCCAGAAGGUGGAGGUUGCAGUGAGCCGAGAUUGCGCCGUUGCACUCCAGCCUGGGCAACAAGAGUGAAACUCAGUCUCAAAAAUAAAUAAAUAAAAUUAAGUCUUAUUUAUUUAUUUAUUUGAGACAGAGUGUUGCUGUGUCGCCCAGGCUCUUAGCUCACUGCAACCUCCGCCUCCCUGGCUCAAGCAAUUAGCCUGCCUCA